GAUGAACGUUGGCGGCGUGCCUAAUACAUGCAAGUCGAACGAAGACUGUAGUAAUACUGUCUUAGUGGCGAACGGGUGAGUAACGCGUGGGUGACCUGCCCCGAAGUGUGGGAUAACAGUCCGAAAGGAUUGCUAAUACUGCAUAAUAUCCAAGAGAUUAGAUGCUUUUGGAUUAAAGGAGUAAUUCGCUUCGGGAGGGGCCCGCGUCCCAUCAGCUAGUUGGUAAGGUAAUGGCUUACCAAGGCGAUGACGGGUAGGGGGCCUGAGAGGGUGGCCCCCACAAUGGAACUGAAACACGGUCCAUACACCUACGGGUGGCAGCAGUAGGGAAUAUUAGUAAUGGGCGAAAGCCUGAACUAGCAACGCCGCGUGUGCGAAGAAGGCCUUCGGGUCGUAAAGCACUUUUUGAGAGGAUGAGGAAGGACGGUACUCUCAGAAUAAGUCUCGGCUAACUACGUGCCAGCAGCGCGGUAAACAUACUCGUA
rnacentral:rRNA from 1 species